UAUAGCAAAUGCUGGAAAUAAGAUCUCAAACCAUGGAACCGUGUGUGUGUGUGUGUGCGCGCGCGCGUGCGUGCAUGACCGCAUGUGUGUGCACGUUUGUAUGUGUGUGUAUGUGUGUUUGUGUGUGUUUAAAGAUUAUGAUGGAUGUUUGAGGCAUCUAGGAAGUAUAAAAUCAUGACUGAGGUUUAGAAUCAAGUGUUGGAAGACUGAGCCGCUGCAGCAUCCUGUAGCUUUCCAGCUGACUGGGUGCUACUGUUUGUUACCAUGGCAACGGAAAACUGCCCAGCAGGUUGGACAGCAACCUGGACAGCAGGUGUUCAUAUACCGUAUUGAGACACCACUUAAGGUAGAUCUGAUCAAAAGUCUCAUCACAGUUGUAAAUCAAUGCUCCUGAUCCAAUGUGAGCAUGCUGGAGUAUAACCAUGGCAACAGUUGCAUUUAAUGUUGUGGAACAUCCACAAAAGAAGUUCCAUUAUAGCAGAUAUAAGCAGACGUUCCUUCACCAGCUUCCAUCCAUCCAUCCAUCUUCUAUACCGCUUAUCCUUCCUUCAAGGUCACGGGGAAACCUGGAGCCUAUCCCAGUGAGCAUCGGGCACAAGGCGGGGUACACCCUGGGUGCCAGGGUGCCAAUCCAUCACAGGGCAUACUCAUACACAUUCACACACCCAUUCAUACACUACGGACACUUUGGACACGCCAAUCAGCCUACCAUGCAUGUCUUUGGACUGAGGGAGGAAACCGGAGUACCCGGAGGAAACCCCUGCAGCACGGGGAGAACAUGCAAACUCCGCACACACAGGGCCAAUCGAACCCCCGACCCUAGAGGUGUGAGGCGAACGUGCUAACCACUGUGCGCCCCCUUCACCAGCCUCUCUUUUAUUAUCUCUCUUGAAGUUAAUAAGUCCAGAAAAUGCAACUUGUCAUGUUAAAGAAAAAAAAAAACAACCUCAAACUCCUGUGUCCUGAAGAUAAAGUUACAGCUUUACCUAUGACUCUUACAAAGUACUGAGACUGGAGACUCCAUCAAUCAAUCUGAACAAUCAAUCCAUCCAUUUUCCAUACUGCUUAUCCUACACAGGGUCACGGGGAGCCUGGAGCCUAUCCCAGGGGACUUGGGGCACAAGGCGGGGGACACCCUGAACGGGUGCCAAUUUAUCACAGGGCACAAUCUCACACACACACACACACACACACACACACACACACACACACAGCCAUUCACGCACUAUGAACAAUUUGGAAAUGACAGUUAGCCUACAGUGCAUGUCUUUGGACUGGGGGAGGAAACCUGCGUACCCAGAGGCAAGCUCUGUGUGCACAAGGAUGAGACAGGAUUCAAACCCCCAGCCCCGGGGCUAAGAGGCAAACAUGCUAACCACCGUGCCCCCAAUCUUUUUUUCUGCCUCAUCUCAUCUGGUUGGUUGUUAUAUCUUGUUGCUUGUUGCUAACCGAAUGCUGCCGAAUCUUCAUGCCAUUGUGCUUCAGGAUAAUAUGCAGCUGUCUAAUAAAGAAAGAUGAGUAAUGCAGUGAGCAGACAGGUGUGGAACCAUGACCAGCCUUCACCCAGAGACCAAUACAGAGUCACAUACAGGGCUGUGAGUGAUAUGGCCUUUAUUGCAGUAAACACUGCUCUGCUGCAUGGAGGAAAGUGACUUGGAAUUAAAUGAAAAUGUAAUAAAAGUGUUCAGACAG